rnacentral:pre_miRNA from 1 species
AAAUUACUCCCUCCGUCCCAGAAUUCUUGUCUUAGAUUUGUCUAGAUAUGGAUGCAUCAAGUCACAUUUUAGUAUUAGAUACAUCCGUAUCUAGACAAAUCUAAGACAAGAAAUUUG